rnacentral:rRNA from 1 species
AACGAACGCUGGCGGCAGGCUUAACACAUGCAAGUCGAGCGCAUCCUUCGGGGUGAGCGGCAGACGGGUGAGUAACGCGUGGGAACGUACCCUUUCCUACGGAAUAGCUCCGGGAAACUGGAAUUAAUACCGUAUACGCCCUUAGGGGGAAAGAUUUAUCGGGGAAGGAUCGGCCCGCGUUGGAUUAGCUAGUUGGUGGGGUAAAGGCCUACCAAGGCGACGAUCCAUAGCUGGUCUGAGAGGAUGAUCAGCCACAUUGGGACUGAGACACGGCCCAAACUCCUACGGGAGGCAGCAGUGGGGAAUAUUGGACAAUGGGCGCAAGCCUGAUCCAGCCAUGCCGCGUGAGUGAUGAAGGCCUUAGGGUUGUAAAGCUCUUUCAGUAGGGAAGAUAAUGACGGUACCUACAGAAGAAGCCCCGGCUAACUUCGUGCCAGCAGCCGCAGUAACAC